AUGGCAGAGGUGCAAAAAACAAGUUUCUCUGCUGCUCUGCAGCAGGAGUGUGGAUGCCUACAGCUGGCAGCAACGCUGACCUGUGGACCCAAGGCCACCAGGACGCUGAGGGAGCCGCCCGGGAUAACCCGCUGGACUCUGUCAGUGUGUGACCUUCCCACUCUGCCCCAUGUGAAAGAGAGGCACCAAAAGCCAGCCAAAGCUGUCAUAGCAGAUGUGGUCUUCAGUGGGACACCCAGCAUCUCCAGCUGCCUGAGAAGAGCAGCGGUCCCUCAGUUUGACCAGCUAAAGUAUGUUCGACUUGCAAAACUAAAUCAGACGGUGGGAUAAACACCUAUUCUCCACUCCAAAGAACUCAUAAAGUAAUCUGAAGUCAAGAGACAGCACAUGGAUACAAACAGAUGGAUAGGGAAAUACAGAGAUUUUCCCCAACAGGCCGUGAGCGGCCAGAGACAUUCUGCACUUGUCGAAGCUAAAUCACAAAGCCGCUCUGCCUUACCCGCCCUGAGGAUGCCUAGGACUUUACAGACACUCCUGCUGCCACUGAAGCUGGCAGGUAGGCACUUUGGUCUCUGCAGAGUCAUGGUCUGUGUUGACAACCAACAAGUGCUAAUCAAAAUUUGACUUUUCAUCACUUUGUCCAAUUUGAAAGUCAUCUGCAUAGCCAGAAGCAGGGACUUUUUUACCAUUACUGUUCGAAAGACAUUCACUUAGCUGGGAGGAGAUACAAUCUACUAAAAUAUUUACACAAAGAGAGCUUUUUGAAAAUGAAGUCUGAUUCUUUUUCCACUUUCCCUCACGCAUCAAACAAUCUCAACGCAUCAGUCCCAAGCAUCCUGGGUGGGAGUGAUACUGAGGACCACGGAGACAGAGACCCCCGCACUCCCUGGGCCUGGGCCACACUAGCCCCACUUCGCUGCUGUUGUCUCCCCCUAGGAUAUUUGCUCCCUUUUGGUAAGAUUAGGGCAUGCAGAAGCUGAAUGACAAUGCAUGGAAUAACGAGACAACCCCACGUCUGCUUCAGAUCAGGACUUGCUGGGCACAACGGCCGCUUCAGCUGCUCCCCAUCUCCCCUUGCAUGGGAAUUGACGCAAUGGGGCUGUUGGUGGACGUGUGCUGCUAUGGAAAACACACAACUAGUUGCCUUUUUUCACCUGAACAGGCACUAGACCUAUUCCAGCUCUACAGUUUUUCCAGUUAUUUGUGUUCUGUGGUUGAAAUUUUCACUGUAUAUUUUAGAGGACAACUGAAAGCGCUCAGCACCAUUCUGAAUUUGGUCUGUCAGAGCUGAAGAAGUGACUCUUCUCCUGCAAAUACUUAAAAAAAAAAAGUCAGUCCCCAAACACUUAAGUCCAAAAUUAAAGUUUAUUUUGGUUUUAGAAGGAAACAAUAAAAUAAGUACAUGAGUAUGUCA
rnacentral:lncRNA from 1 species